GACGAACGCUGGCGGCGUGCCUAAUACAUGCAAGUUGAGCGCUGAAGGUUGGUACUUGUACCAACUGGAUGAGCAGCGAACGGGUGAGUAACGCGUGGGGAAUCUGCCUUUGAGCGGGGGACAACAUUUGGAAACGAAUGCUAAUACCGCAUAAAAACUUUAAACACAAGUUUUAAGUUUGAAAGAUGCAAUUACAUCACUCAAAGAUGAUCCCGCGUUGUAUUAGCUAGUUGGUGAGGUAAAGGCUCACCAAGGCGAUGAUACAUAGCCGACCCGAGAGGGUGAUCGGCCACAUUGGGACUGAGACACGGCCCAAACUCCUACGGGAGGCAGCAGUAGGGAAUCUUCGGCAAUGGACGAAAGUCUGACCGAGCAACGCCGCGUGAGUGAAGAAGGUUUUCGGAUCGUAAAACUCUGUUGGUAGAGAAGAACGUUGGUGAGAGUGGAAAGCUCAUCAAGUGACGGUAACUACCCAGAAAGGGACGGCUAACUACGUG
rnacentral:rRNA from 1 species